rnacentral:rRNA from 1 species
CUUAUGCCGGCGACCGGCGGACGGGUGCGUAACGCGUAUGUAACCUACCUUUGACAGGGGGAUAACAUCGAGAAAUUGGUACUAAUACCCCAUAACAUCACCGGAGGCAUCUUCGGUGGUUGAAAACUCAGGUGGUCAGAGAUGGACAUGCGUUGUAUUAACUAGUUGGUGAGGUAACGGCUCACCAAGGCGACGAUACAUAGGGGGACUGAGAGGUCAACCCCCCACAUUGGUACUGAGACACGGACCAAACUCCUACGGGAGGCAGCAG